GUGAGGAAUAUUGGACAAUGGGCGCAAGCCUGAUCCAGCCAUGCCGCGUGCAGGAAGACGCAUCUAUGGUGUGUAAACUGCUUUUGUACGGGAAGAAACACUCCCUCGUGAGGGAGCUUGACGGUACCGUAAGAAUAAGGAUCGGCUAACUCCGUGCCAGCAGCCGCGGUAAUACGGAGGAUCCAAGCGUUAUCCGGAAUCAUUGGGUUUAAAGGGUCCGUAGGCGGUUUAAUAAGUCAGUGGUGAAAGCCCAUCGCUCAACGAUGGAACGGCCAUUGAUACUGUUAGACUUGAAUUACAAGGAAGUAACUAGAAUAUGUAGUGUAGCGGUGAAAUUCUUAGAUAUUACAUGGAAUACCAAUUGCGAAGGCAGGUUACUACUUGUGGAUUGACGCUGAUGGACGAAAGCGUGGGGAGCGAACAGGAUUAGAAACCCUUGUAGUCC
rnacentral:rRNA from 1 species